GGAGCCGUAAUGGGAGAUGGCGUGUCUUUCGAGCGCACGCGCCGACGAGGAAAAAAGGUGUGCCCGCCCGACGCCGCCUCUAAGGGGUGGCCGCUCUACAGCUGCCUGCCUAAUCUCCAGUUGCCCCCGCCACCUCCCUUGUAGCGGCCUACCUGUUCACGCCGCCGGGGCCACCUUAGGGUUCUAAGCUACUCACGACGUCGGGACCUCGAGCUCUUCCUGCUUCUUCGUCCGCACCAACUUCCACCAGUCUCUAAGCUCCACACGAGACUUCGAUGUUCGCCGACCUGCUCCUCCCACUCCGAACCCUUUCGUGGACUACUCUCUCUGUACUUAGGACUGUCUUUUUGUCGUGAACUCGAGAGACAGGCACGAAUACGACUUUUUACAGUUCCCGUACAGCAGUUAGGCUUUUAACCGUGCCUUAAACUGAGCAACCUACUUCGUAUACUCAAGAUGUUGGAUAUAAGUACCCUUUGUACAAAACCAUAUGCUGAGCGUUUCUCGUCCGAGUUACACGUCUCUUGUUCCACAUACGUUCUCUAUCAAACACGGACGCGCCCCAGUGGCAACUUCCUCUUGUCGGCCAGAAGCUCCACACCAACGUUACGUUACUAUUCCGACGAGGCUAGUUUCCUACGCCCAACCAUGUAUAGUCUCGUGUUUCGUCCCGUGUUGGUAGGUGACAGGUAAUGUACACCGGUCUUUUACGUAACUUUCAGCGUGUCCGUAUAUCUGUCUACGUGGUUCCUAGAACACUUCGUCGAAUCCCUAUUAUUACAACCGUAACCCUUUCAAAAGUCGUAUCACCCAUCAAAAAAGCCUAGGUGUCUAUUGCACGGAAAAUGGUUUUCCAGUAACUUCUGGAACACAUCUUUUGAGUUGUUUCUUGUCAGUCUAAAACUACGGCAGUUUUGUUACUUGGACGAACCACUCUACUUCCGUUUGCUAGGUUUGAAGUUGAUGUGUCACGUCCAGCUACUUCUCUCGGCGUAUUUCUGUGAUUACACCCACUGUUCGUCACCCACGUUGGUCAUGUCCACAAAACCUCUACGUUAUUGAAAACUGUGGUGUAUGGCUUGUUUGAACAUGCUAUACGGGAAACCAGACAAGCAGCCGCAGUUGUUGGUGAAGGUCUCGUAUUAAAAACCCCCCCGCUACUACUCCCUGCUAUUUCUCCUUUGUAAGUUUACCUAAAAGUUCCUCAAACAAGCGUACCAACCACCCUUUGUAGGCGUCUGUUAUGAAUGUCUGGUCCGUGCCAGGUACCUUGACCGUUAACUUCGGCUCGAGGGUUUAUGACACGUGGCCACCACGUUUACCGUACAAGACUUUUUCCGAUUCCUCAGGUACCCACAUGAAACCUCGUUCUUGUCGCUUAAGUUCGACCUCAAGGUGUUCGAACACGUAGUGUACUAGUGCCUUCUUCUCAAACUCCUACCGACCUCGGUCUACACCCUCUUCAUGAGAAACUUCUUUGUAGGUAAAAACUGAGUCUAUAUACUCCAGUCCGUAUUUACCCGUUUCGGCAUAAAGGCUCCCCACAAGACACGAGCCUACUGCUCGUGAGUUGCCUCGCUCUCGCGGUUGGUAAACAACUUUCCAAUGCACGGAGGUCCCACAGGUUACGUAAACAAAGACUUCGUUAAGGUCUUUAACGUUAAACUGUCUCUCCGUCUCCUCUCAAAGGUCCUCUUCUCCUGUAGCGAUUCACCACACACAGAAGCCCAGUUGGAAGGUUAACUCUUCGUACGAUCGUUUCAGAUGUGGUCUCGAUACAAGCUUUUUAAGCCCCUUCUCAACAUGUUCACACCCCGUGUACACAACCUACUCCACCACGGACCCUCCUAAAUAUUCAGCUGGGUGCAUCUUCGCCGUUUGUCCCUCUUUACCUCGUUUCAACUUAAGUUCUAUCUUCACUUACUUCUGCGCUCAAAAAAGUCAACGCUCACACCAAUAAAACUUGUACGACCCGAUCACACGACGGUACGUAACGUCCACUACCACGUAAAGGCUAACGUUUUUUAUGGUGUCUUCGUAUAUGAAUUUUCCACCUGCUCUCUCCGUGCACUGUAAGAAGGACUUGUAAACCAAUCCAUAGUUUCUCUGGCUCCUGGAGGUCGAUCACUAUGUAAGUCCGUAGUGUGGUACAUGUACUUUCGAGACCUCACACAGCACGAACCUCUGUCGUUACAAUUCACGAUACUACAAAAGUACCGAUACUACUUCCUCCAAGUACGCUGAGACGAAGGUGAAUCGCAACUAUUUCUACCUUACCCCGAACGUCUCUCUCUCUCCGUCCAAGUCCAACAUCUAGUUUUCCCCGAACCUAGUUGCCUACCGCUACUACACGACUUCUUUGUAUGGACGCUGCCGCUUAGGUCAACGAGUCGACAACCCGACAGACUAUCCUUCUCCGUUUCCCCGUCCGGCUGCUGGUCGUCCCUGUUCCGAGGAAUGCUUGUUGUGGAAUUCUCCAGUGCAAAAACGUGCUAGACGUCUCUCGUCCCGGUGUUCACAUGUUGAACAGGGGUCUCUCCCCUAAACGGUUUCCGAGGUUCCUUCAACGGCUUUACGUGCUUGACACCACACCAACCUGUGUCCGCGUUAUGAACGCCCUGAUUCUUCUCGCCGGGUAAACUCGGUUUGAAGGAUAUCCGUUGGACUUAAGAUAAAACAUGACACAAAAAGUCUGAAAUACAGUACGUACAACACUUUUCCUGAUCCACUAUACCUAGUCAACCAAUACACCACACGAGGUCCAUCCUUGUACGCUUUUUACAACGGCAAAAGUACAAAACUAACAACAUAGACACACGGUCGUUGUAGCCAUCGUACACGUGCUGUAACGUAAAAAACGAGAAACCCUCUUAACACGUAAAAAAGGUCACAUCAUUGAAAUUAG
rnacentral:rRNA from 1 species